rnacentral:rRNA from 1 species
CUUGCUUCUCUUGAGAGCGGCGGACGGGUGAGUAAUGCCUAGGAAUCUGCCUGGUAGUGGGGGAUAACGUUCGGAAACGGACGCUAAUACCGCAUACGUCCUACGGGAGAAAGCAGGGGACCUUCGGGCCUUGCGCUAUCAGAUGAGCCUAGGUCGGAUUAGCUAGUUGGUGGGGUAAUGGCUCACCAAGGCGACGAUCCGUAACUGGUCUGAGAGGAUGAUCAGUCACACUGGAACUGAGACACGGUCCAGACUCCUACGGGAGGCAGCAGUGGGGAAUAUUGGACAAUGGGCGAAAGCCUGAUCCAGCCAUGCCGCGUGUGUGAAGAAGGUCUUCGGAUUGUAAAGCACUUUAAGUUGGGAGGAAGGGUUGUAGAUUAAUACUCUGCAAUUUUGACGUUACCGACAGAAUAAGCACCGGCUAACUCUGUGCCAGCAGCCGCGGUAAUACAGAGGGUGCAAGCGUUAAUCGGAAUUACUGGGCGUAAAGCGCGCGUAGGUGGUUUGUUAAGUUGGAUGUGAAAUCCCCGGGCUCAACCUGGGAACUGCAUUCAAAACUGACUGACUAGAGUAUGGUAGAGGGUGGUGGAAUUUCCUGUGUAGCGGUGAAAUGCGUAGAUAUAGGAAGGAACACCAGUGGCGAAGGCGACCACCUGGACUAAUACUGACACUGAGGUGCGAAAGCGUGGGGAGCAAACAGGAUUAGAUACCCUGGUAGUCCACGCCGUAAACGAUGUCACUAGCCGUUGGAAGCCCUUGAGCUUUUAGUGGCGCAGCUAACGCAUUUAGUUGACCGCCCUGGGGAGUACGGCCGCCAAGGUUUAA